rnacentral:rRNA from 1 species
AACGAACGCUGGCGGCAUGCCUAACACAUGCAAGUCGAACGAGACCUUCGGGUCUAGUGGCGCACGGGUGCGUAACGCGUGGGAACCUGCCCUUAGGUUCGGAAUAACUCCCCGAAAGGGGUGCUAAUAGCGGAUAAUGUCUUCGGACCAAAGAUUUAUCGCAUUUGGAUGGGCCCGCGUUGGAUUAGCUAGUUGGUAGGGUAAAAGCCUACCAAGGCGACGAUCCAUAGCUGGUCUGAGAGGAUGAUCAGCCACACUGGGACUGAGACACGGCCCAGACUCCUACGGGAGGCAGCAGUGGGGAAUAUUGGACAAUGGGCGAAAGCCUGAUCCAGCAAUGCCGCGUGAGUGAUGAAGGCCGUAGGGUUGUAAAGCUCUUUUACCCGGGAUGAUAAUGACAGUACCGGGAGAAUAAGCUCCGGCUAACUCCGUG